CGAGUCCAUUCUUAACGCACGGAUGUCUCCGGCGCGCAGUCGCCUCUGAAUACAAAAGUUUCAACAACGGAUCUCUUGGCUCUCGCACCGAUGAAGAACGCAGCGAAAUGCGAUAAGUAAUGUGAAUUGCAGAAUCCAGUGAAUCAUCGAAUCUUUGAACGCACCUUGCGCUCCUUGGUAUUCCUCGGAGCAUGCCUGUUUGAGUAUCAUGAAAUGCUCAGAGCCUCUGGGUCUUUUCGCCUAUGCCCUGGACUUUGGAGGCUUGCGGACGCGCGUCUGCGCCCGCUCCUCUCGAAAGCAUCAGCUGGAUCUCUGCGGCCUCUGGUUCUCCCGCUUGGCGUGAUAGACAUUUGCUGUUCGCCGACGCGAGUCUCGUCCCCGCCUCCCUGGGGACGRCUAGACGUCCGUGGAAGAGCCGCUUCRAACGGUCUGUUUGUCCAGACACUUUGACCCCUCGCGGAUCUGAUCUCAAAUCAGGUAGAUACCGUAAUA
rnacentral:rRNA from 1 species